GAUGAACGCUGGCGGCGUGCUUAACACAUGCAAGUCGAACGGAAAGGCUCCUGCUUGCAGGGGUACUCGAGUGGCGAACGGGUGAGUAACACGUGGGUGAUCUGCCCUGCACUUCGGGAUAAGCCUGGGAAACUGGGUCUAAUACCGGAUAGGACGAUGGUUUGGAUGCCAUUGUGGAAAGUUUUUCGGUGUGGGAUGAGCUCGCGGCCUAUCAGCUUGUUGGUGGGGUAAUGGCCUACCAAGGCGUCGACGGGUAGCCGGCCCGAGAGGGUGUACGGCCACAUUGGGACUGAGAUACGGCCCAGACUCCUACGGGAGGCAGCAGUGGGGAAUAUUGCACAAUGGGCGCAAGCCUGAUGCAGCGACGCCGCGUGGGGGAUGACGGCCUUCGGGCUGUAAACUCCUUUCGCUAGGGACGAAGCGCAAGUGACGGUACCUGGAGAAGAAGCACCGGCUAACUACGUG
rnacentral:rRNA from 1 species